UUCAAGGCAAUAGCACCCACGUUCAUUAUGGCUGAAAAAAAAUCAACUCGCGAGUUAAUUUCACUCAAACCUACAAUACGAACGUCAUCGUCAAGUCUUCGACAAUAUGAUAUGAAAGCUCACCUCGACACUGAACCGACCACUUUGUGGUUUUUCAACCUUAUCAAACAAUCAUACGUGUGUCUGAGAGUUCACAGGUAGGUAUACCAUUGAAUCCACUCAGCAUUGGUCUCCUUGAAAACCUCAAUUCUGCCGCGGUAGCAUGGAUAUGUAGUACCUGUACCUCUAUGUAAUGUACUAGGUAGAACGUGCUGACAAAAAUACAAAUAAAUAAAUAAUUUCAAGGUAAA